rnacentral:rRNA from 1 species
UACAGAGGUCCCAAGCGUUGUUCGGAUUCACUGGGCGUAAAGGGUGCGUAGGUGGCCAGGUAAGUUUGGUGUGAAAGCUCGGAGCUUAACUCCGAAAAGUCAUUGAAUACUAUCUGGCUGGAGGGUCGGAGGGGAGACUGGAAUUCUCGGUGUAGCAGUGAAAUGCGUAGAUAUCGAGAGGAACACCAGUGGCGAAGGCGAGUCUCUGGACGACUCCUGACACUGAGGCGCGAAAGCGUGGGGAGCGAACAGG